AAUCCAUGAUGAGGGCACUGUCUUUGUAGACUCUUUAAUCUGUUCCAUGUUUCAAAUAAUGAUUCUUCAUAUACCUGAGCAAAAUGUGUGAUGCAAUUCCAUAUAUAAAU